CUUGCAUAGGACAUCCUCGCAAGAGUGAGUCCUCCUAAAGCUUCGAUUGAAAUUGAGUGUGCUCGUCUUACGGAUAUUGAUAUAUGAUGGCGUGGCAAACAGUUCGGCCAUGAACAAGUGGUAUUGAUGACCACUGGGAUACGGACAGCUUGCAUUACCUAGGGGUUUCCCUCGUUAUUGCAGGUCCAGUAUGAGGUGCCGGCACGACUGUAUGGGGCGUGACGGUGACUGCUAAGAUCUCAGAUCAGUACCGCUAUGCUCUCAGCUUCGUGUUCCGCCGCUUCCCCAACUCACCCAAAGUCAUCCUGCUAGAGGAAGAUCUGAUAGUGGCGUCGGACUUCUUCAGUUACUUCAAUCAGACGGCGUGGCUGCUGGACCCAGACACUUCUUUAUGCUGCGUGAGUGCCUGGACGGACUUAGGUGGCUUACACACGGCGCACAAUCCCCGCCUGCUGCUCCGCGUGGAGGUACUGCCGGGGCUCGGAUGGGUGGUGGGCCGCAGCACCGCUCUCCACCUGCUCUCCAUGUGGAUGUCCCCGGAUCAGGACCAUGACUGGGAUAUAUGGAUGCGGCAAUCUCAUGUCCUCCUCAGGGGGCGGGAGUAUCAUGCCUGAUGUGUCUCGCACCUUUCACAUCGGAUUCAUGGGCUCGCACGCUGCUGGCUUCCUUCACACUGCCUUCUUUGCCUAUAAAUCCGUGCCCGUCCUUCCAUAUGUGCCUUUGCUCAAUGUACACAGGUGAGUGUGUAAGCCUCACGGUAGCCACCACCACCAC